GAGGCGUAGAGCCGUCUCCGUUCCCGUCGUUCCACACCCCUCCCACCGAUGUCUCACCUCCUGCUGCUGCUACUCAGGAUGUCUUGAAACUGAUACUUUUAAUCCAUGUGCCAUCGAUAGAAUUGUCAUCAUCCUAUACUUCACAACAUGCCCUGGAAUCAGUUUGAACCUGUAGAAUCUGCAUAGGAUUGCAAGUGCCAUCUUCAUCUAGGAUCGAUGAAUCGUAGAGUCACAAUUAUGUUUGCAGUGUCAAAUGCUUGUGCAAAGCGAUUAUCUGGCAAGUCAGGGGCCAAUGUUCCUAUUUCUGCACCAAAUCCCACUUUGCAAAUGGAGUCCAAAGUCAUCCUCAUCAACAAUUCCUGAAAAUUAGUCAGUUCCUGUAGCUGUCAGGUAAAUUGAUGGAACAUUGAUGGAUCAUGGUUAAACAGCAAAGGAUUUGUAGGUAUUUGCAACUCAACCCAACUCCCUUAUCAGUGGCUUGUCUUUCGCAAUUGAAAAAGAAUAACUCAAUUGUUUUAAGACAAGUUUAAUGUCUAUACGCAAUUAAAUGUCACCAUCCGUAUAAAAGUUGUAUUGCUUCUGUCAGUUGUCCGAUUGUCUUGAAAAGAAUGAUAGUCACCUGCAUAUCUAUUUCCUGUUUCUGGAGA